rnacentral:rRNA from 1 species
GACGUAGGGGGCUAGCGUUGUCCGGAAUCAUUGGGCGUAAAGAGCGUGUAGGCGGCUUGAUAAGUCCGCUGUGAAAGUUCAGGGCUCAACCCUGGAAAGCCAGUGGAAACUGUCAAGCUAGAGUCCGGAAGAGGCGAGUGGAACUCCUGGUGUAGCGGUGAAAUGCGCAGAUAUCAGGAAGAACACCAAUGGCGAAGGCAGCUCGCUGGGACGGUACUGACGCUGAGACGCGAAAGCGUGGGGAGCAAACAGG